UGCCUGAGAUUGAGCAAAAUAGUUUCUGGAUUGAGAGACCCACAGGAGUCGAGAGACAUCACACACAGAUCACAUUUCACUUCGAAAACAUUGCGAAGAAUGAGAUUUUCCUCUUUUCAGCCUUUUCCUUCCUUUGUUUUAUUAAUUAUUGGCACAACAAUGAAAAUACCGACUAGCAAAAAGACCUGAGGCAGGAAGUCAGCUGACUGCAGGGAAGAGCUGUUUCCUGUGGCAUUGGGGACCAUCCUGUGUGAUGACUCACCGGAAACUGAUGACGUACACACGAAUGAACCAACUGAACGGAAGGAUGCAACGACCUUAGGACCUCAUAAUAUCCCAGUCCACUGCGCGCAAACACAUUUCACUGCGGGUAUAACCCGCUUGCUCUUUACGGAUGCUAAUGUUUGUAGGGAUCUGGGGUCACAGCUUUUCAGCUCAAGUCUCAAUUCACUCAAUAAGGCCAUGAGCAGCCUGGACAUUCGGCCAAACAUCUCCUUUUGCGUUCCAUGGAAUGACAAGAAGACAGAUGUCUCAGUUUUCUCUCUAUAUGUAGAUGUACACCUGCUUCAGCUCGCCUGCCACUGCUCCCGGCCAGACUUUUGAUCCUACCAUGACAAAGGAUUGGAUUUGAGUGGUUUAGACUGGUCUCAGAUCAGCCCCUGCAGGAGACCCCAGG